AGAACCGGUUCUUUUUUUUUUAUUUUAACAUCAUUUUGUCUCCUAUCAAAAGCAGUACAUGUCCUUAUUCUAAGCCUCCACUUUAUUUUCGUUCUUAAAAUCCUCUUUAAUUCUCCUUCAAGGAUGAUGACUUGCCUUGCCACUCUUACACCAAUUCUAUCUCAUCGAUUAUAUAGGACCUGUUUAAAGAUGAAACUCCUGUGGGGGUGAAGAAGCCAUCAAACUAAAAUCCCAAAAUAAUAGGGACAAUUAUCCAUCUUAGGGUCUGUUUCAAUAUUUCUAUAAAAUUGAGUUGAAAAUCCAAUUAGCCUAUCUAUCUUGCAUUUUCUAAGAGACUAUUCAAAUCCAACCCAAAUCAUAGCCUUUGGACUACAGGGA
rnacentral:lncRNA from 1 species